rnacentral:lncRNA from 1 species
UGACGUUUACGUUGAAUACGUUUAGUGCAUACAGUACUGACUAUUGUUCAGAAUGAAGUGGAUUUUAGGUUUUGUUUUAAUGACUUUAAUUUGGAAUGUUGAUGGUCAGAAUCCUCGGCCGAUUUAUAAAACCCCCCUGAAAGAAAGUAGGGCUACAGAUCCGACAAAUGUAAAGCCGCAAGCAGGCAACAGAGUAAUCGUGCAUUAUACGGGAAAUUUGAAAGUCAAAUGGAAAAAAGUUUGAUUCGUCACGUGACCGAAAUGACCCAUUCAGAUUCACUCUCUUUGGAAAUGAAGUUAUCACCGGUUGGGACUAUGCAGUGGCAUCGAUGAAAGUAGGCGAGCGGGCACGAUUUGAUAUUCCACCAGAAUAUGCUUAUGGUGCGAGGGGAGCUCCACCUGAAUAUCC